rnacentral:misc_RNA from 1 species
GAUGAAGAACGUAGUGAAAUGCGAUAAGUAGUGUGAAUUGCAGAAUUCAGUGAAUCAUCGAAUCUUUGAACGCACAUUGCGCCCUAUGGUAUUCCUUAGGGCAUGCCUGUUCGAGCGUCAUUUAAACCUUCAAGCUAAGCUUGGUGUUGGGUGACUGUCCGCUUCACUGCGGACUCGCCUCAAAAUUAUUGGCGGCCGGUACAUUGGCUUCGAGCGCAGCAGAAACGCGAACUCGGGCCCGUCGUAUUGGCUCCCAGAAGCUAUCUUCACAAUUUUGACCUCGGAUCAGGUAGGGAUACCCGCUGAACUUAAGCAUAUCAAUAAGCGGAGGA